rnacentral:rRNA from 1 species
AGAAUCAACGCUGGCGGCUUGCCGUCAGACAUGCAAGUCGAACGCGAAAGUCCCCUUCGGGGGGCAAGUAGAGUGGCGCACGGGUGAGUAACACGUAGGUAAUCUACCUUCGGAUGGGGAAUAACAACCGGAAACGGUUGCUAAUACCGCAUAAUGCAGCGGCACCUAAUGGUGACAGUUGUUAAAGCGGGGGAUCGAAAGACCUCGCGUCUGAAGAGGAGCCUGCGGCGGAUUAGCUAGUUGGUAAGGUAAUGGCUUACCAAGGCGACGAUCCGUA